AGAGUUUGAUCCUGGCUCAGGAUGAACGCUGACAGAAUGCUUAACACAUGCAAGUCUACUUGAUCCUUCGGGUGAAGGUGGCGGACGGGUGAGUAACGCGUAAAGAACUUGCCCUGCAGUCUGGGACAACAUUUGGAAACGAAUGCUAAUACCGGAUAUUAUGUGAGUUUCGCAUGAAAUUCAUAUGAAAGCUAUAUGCGCUGCAGGAGAGCUUUGCGUCCUAUUAGCUAGUUGGUGAGGUAACGGCUCACCAAGGCGAUGAUAGGUAGCCGGCCUGAGAGGGUGAACGGCCACAAGGGGACUGAGACACGGCCCUUACUCCUACGGGAGGCAGCAGUGGGGAAUAUUGGACAAUGGACCAAAAGUCUGAUCCAGCAAUUCUGUGUGCACGAUGAAGUUUUUCGGAAUGUAAAGUGCUUUCAGUUGGGAAGAAGUCAGUGACGGUACCAACAGAAGAAGCGACGGCUAAAUACGUGCCAGCAGCCGCGGUAAUACGUAUGUCGCAAGCGUUAUCCGGAUUUAUUGGGCGUAAAGCGCGUCUAGGCGGUUUAGUAAGUCUGAUGUGAAAAUGCGGGGCUCAACCCCGUAUUGCGUUGGAAACUGCUAAACUAGAGUACUGGAGAGGUAGGCGGAACUACAAGUGUAGAGGUGAAAUUCGUAGAUAUUUGUAGGAAUGCCGAUGGGGAAGCCAGCCUACUGGACAGAUACUGACGCUAAAGCGCGAAAGCGUGGGUAGCAAACAGGAUUAGAUACCCUGGUAGUCCACGCCGUAAACGAUGAUUACUAGGUGUUGGGGGUCGAACCUCAGCGCCCAAGCUAACGCGAUAAGUAAUCCGCCUGGGGAGUACGUACGCAAGUAUGAAACUCAAAGGAAUUGACGGGGACCCGCACAAGCGGUGGAGCAUGUGGUUUAAUUCGACGCAACGCGAGGAACCUUACCAGCGUUUGACAUCCUAAGAAAUUAGCAGAGAUGCUUUUGUGCCCCUUUCGGGGGAACUUAGUGACAGGUGGUGCAUGGCUGUCGUCAGCUCGUGUCGUGAGAUGUUGGGUU
rnacentral:rRNA from 1 species